GGGCGAUUAGCUCAGGGGGAGAGCACUUGCCUUACAAGCAAGGGGCCAGUGGUUCGAAUCCACUAUCGCCCACCA
rnacentral:tRNA from 1 species